CCUACGGGAGGCUGCAGUGAGGAAUAUUGGUCAAUGGACGAGAGUCUGAACCAGCCAAGUAGCGUGAAGGAUGACUGCCCUAUGGGUUGUAAACUUCUUUUAUAUGGGAAUAAAACGUUCCACGUGUGGGAUUUUGUAUGUACCAUAUGAAUAAGGAUCGGCUAACUCCGUGCCAGCAGCCGCGGUAAUACGGAGGAUCCGAGCGUUAUCCGGAUUUAUUGGGUUUAAAGGGAGCGUAGGUGGAUUGUUAAGUCAGUUGUGAAAGUUUGCGGCUCAACCGUAAAAUUGCAGUUGAAACUGGCAGUCUUGAGUACAGUAGAGGUGGGCUGAAUUCGUGGUGUAGCGGUGAAAUGCUUAGAUAUCACGAAGAACUCCGAUUGCGAAGGCAGUUCACUGGACUGCAACUGACACUGAGGCUCGAAAGUGUGGGUAUCAAACAGGAUUAGAUACCCCAGUAGUC
rnacentral:rRNA from 1 species